AGGUAAUAAAGAUUAUUAAAACCUAAAUAUAAUGGCGGCUUUUAUCCUACUAGAGGAACUUGCUAUAUAAUCGACAACCCUCGAUAAAUUUAACUUUUAUAAUAAAUUUAUAUACCGCCAUCUAAAGAAAUUUUUACAAAAAUUUUUCUAAAUAAUAAUAUAAAAAGUUAGGUCAAGGUGUAGUUUACAUAAAAGUAAUACGUGAGUUACAUUAAAAUCCAUUUAAGGACAAAGCUCCAAAAUGCAAUAAAAAAAGGAUUUAAUAGUAAUAAUAAAAUAUUCAUUUCAUAUGAAUAACUUAAUAAAAGUGU
rnacentral:rRNA from 1 species